AUGGCGGCUGCGGCGGGGGCGGCGCCGAGCGGCGGCCCGGUAUUUAAGAGUGGCCCUCUCUUCAUAUCAUCCAAAGGAAUUGGAUGGAAAUCUUGGAAAAAGCGUUGGUUCAUUCUCACCCGAACAUCGCUGAUUUUCUUCAAGAAUGACCCUAAUUCCUUACCCCAAAGAGGUGGUGAAGUGAAUGUUACUUUGGGAGGAAUUGACUUGAAUAAUUCUGGGAGUGUAGUGGUCAGGGAAGACAAGAAGUUAUUGACUGUCCUAUUUCCAGAUGGUCGUGAUGGUCGUGCUUUUACCUUGAAGGCAGAAACAUCUGAAGAUUUGCUUGAGUGGAAAACGGCAUUGGAAGAAGCUCUUGCACAGGCUCCAAAUGCAGCUCUCGUGAUUGGACAUAAUGGGAUAUUCCGUAAUGACACACCAGAUGCAUACGAAGGAGCAGCUCCAAAUUGGAGAGAGAAGAGGCCUACCAAAUCCUUGGUUGUUGGAAGGCCAAUUCUUCUUGCACUAGAAGAUAUUGAUGGCAGCCCUUCUUUUCUAGAAAAAGCUUUGUGUUUUCUUGAGAAACAUGGGAUAAAGGUGGAGGGAAUUUUGCGUCAGGCUGCAGAUGUGGAGGAGGUUGACAGAAGAAUGAAUGAAUAUGAGCAAGGCAGGACUGAGUUUGCACCGGAUGAGGAUGCUCAUGUUGUCGGUGACUGUGUAAAGCAUGUUCUGCGUGAGCUACCGUCUUCUCCAGUGCCUGCUUCCUGCUGCACAGCAUUAUUAGAAGCUUUCCGUCUAGAGAGUAAGGAAUCUCGGAUAAAUUCGAUGCGUGCAGCGAUGUCUGAGACAUUUCCCGAGCCUAAUAGGCGGCUGCUACAGAGAAUUUUGAGGAUGAUGUACACUGUUGCUUCUCAUACUACUGAGAAUCGAAUGACUCCAUCAGCAGUUGCUGCUUGUAUGGCUCCUCUCUUGCUGCGUCCACUUCUGGCGGGUGAAUGUGAGAUGGAAGAUGACAUAGACAUGAGUGAUGACAGUUCUGCUCAGCUUAUAGCUGCUGCAAAUGCUGCUAACAAUGCUCAAUGCAUUGUCACAACUCUAUUAGAGGAAUAUGAGAGCAUAUUUGAUGAUGAACACCCAAGGUGUUCCCUCUCACCCGAUUCUCGAAUUCAAGAUAGUGGAAGUGAAGAGUCUACAGAUGAUGAAACUGUGGAUGCCAAAGAUAAUGGGUUUCAUGAUGCAGAGAAUGAUGUAGAUCAAGAAUUAGAUGAGCGUAUACUGAGUGGAAACUUGAGUGAAAGCAGUGCACGUACUGGUGCUGACCUCUAUGACUACCAGGUAGACCCUGGUGAUUCAGACGCCGAACGUUUUGUCACAGAUAAGGCUUUGGAAGCAAAGUCAGAUUUAAAGGAUGCUCCACACAGCCAUUUAAAUCAAAAUGGAACGAUAAAUGUCCAGAGAUUACCGAAUGGAAAUGAUCCAACAAAUCUGGCUUCCAGUCAUGAGUCUCCAUUGUCAAUGGGAGAGAUUCUUUCGUCUUUGGAUGCAGGAGUUCCUUUAUCUGGUCCUGGAGCUGAACAUUCUGCAGAUAGGCAGUCCAUCAAGUCCAAUGAAACUCAGUUACAUGUGAAGCGUUCUAAUAUUUGGGGACGGAGUAAUGCAAGAAAGAGCCAGCAGUCAGAGUUUGCUGAUUCAUCGGGUGAAGAAGAGCUUGCUAUCCAAAGACUUGAGAUUGCAAAGAAUGAUCUGCAAAUUAGGAUUGCGAAAGAGACUAGAGGUAAUGCAAUCUUACAGGCUAGUUUGGAAAGAAGAAAGCAAGCUCUGCAUGAGCGCCGUUUGGUGCUGGAACAAGAUGUAUCAAGGUUGCAAGAGCAGCUGCAGGCUGAAAGGGAUCUUAGAGCUGCAUUAGAAGUUGGAUUAAGCAUGUCUUCUGCGCAAUUUUCUGGUUCACGUGCUAUGGACUCUAAGACAAAGGCAGAGCUUGAGGAGAUUGCUCUCGCAGAAGCUGAUGUUGCAAGGUUAAAGCAGAAGGUUGCAGAGCUGCAUGUCCAACUUAGUCAACAGCGCCAACACCAGUACGACUCUUUUGUAGAUGAGAAUGACCGUUAUCAGCAUCGUCCAAGUCAUCUCCCACAGAGCUUUGUUCAACCAGGGUUUGAUACUAAACUUGCUUUCUGUAAUCAAGAGAAGAAGCAGAGGAACGAGGAGAGCUUGUCGGGCGCAUCACACUGGAGAAGUAUCAAACAGCACGUGCUGACCCAGGCUUCUUCGAAGCCCUUCUCCCGCAAGCACUCCCUGGAUGCCUCUUCGAGCGAUUCAAGGGAGGUGUCGUCAAGCAUGCCAGUGGAGAGCGGUUCGAUGUCUGCGAACAAUCCAAGAGCAGGGGAGGCUGUCGAGUACGGGAGACAACCGCCCGUGCCGUCGUCCACCCUGGUUGAGCUGACGACCAGACUGGAUUUCUUCAAAGAACGGAGGUCGCAGUUGAUGGAACAGCUCCACAGUCUUGAUUUGGGACAUGGAUCCGCGCCGCAUGGUUUUCAGUACAAGUCUUCGUCACCUUGGAACAGUCCGAGAUAG
rnacentral:rRNA from 1 species